GAAUAGGACGUAUGGUUCUAUUUUGUUGGUUUCUAGGACCAUCGUAAUGAUUAAUAGGGACAGUCGGGGGCAUCAGUAUUCAGUUGUCAGAGGUGAAAUUCUUGGAUUUACUGAAGACUAACUACUGCGAAAGCAUUUGCCAAGGAUGUUUUCAUUAAUCAAGAACGAAAGUUAGGGGAUCGAAGACGAUCAGAUACCGUCGUAGUCUUAACCAUAAACUAUGCCGACUAGGGAUUGGGCGACGUUCUAUUAUGACUCGCUCAGCACCUUACGAGAAAUCAAAGUUUUUGGGUUCUGGGGGGAGUAUGGUCGCAAGGCUGAAACUUAAAGGAAUUGACGGAAGGGCACCACCAGGAGUGGAGCCUGCGGCUUAAUUUGACUCAACACGGGGAAACUCACCAGGUCCAGACACAAUAAGGAUUGACAGAUUGAGAGCUCUUUCUUGAUUUUGUGGGUGGUGGUGCAUGGCCGUUCUUAGUUGGUGGAGUGAUUUGUCUGCUUAAUUGCGAUAACGAACGAGACCUUAACCUACUAAAUAGCUCGAUCAGCUUUGGCUGAUUAUUAGCUUCUUAGAGGGACUAUCGUUUUCAAGACGAUGGAAGUUUGAGGCAAUAACAGGUCUGUGAUGCCCUUAGACGUUCUGGGCCGCACGCGCGCUACACUGACGGAGCCAACGAGUACAUAACCUUGGCCGAGAGGCUUGGGUAAUCUUGUUAAACUCCGUCGUGCUGGGGAUAGAGCAUUGCAAUUAUUGCUCUUCAACGAGGAAUUCCUAGUAAGCGCAAGUCAUCAGCUUGCGUUGAUUACGUCCCUGCCCUUUGUACACACCGCCCGUCGCUACUACCGAUUGAAUGGCUUAGUGAGGCCUCCGGAUUGGCUCCAGGAAAUGGGCAACCAUUACCAGGAGCUGAAAAGCUGGUCAAACUUGGUCAUUUAGAGGAAGUAAAAGUCGUAACAAGGUUUCCGUAGGUGAACCUGCGGAAGGAUCAUUAACGAAUUAUGUUCUUCGGAAACAAUUUCAUCCUUACACACCUGUGAAUUUUUAAAAUUAACUUUUGCUUUGGUCAGGCUUUUUUAAGCUUGGCCAGAGGUAUACAAACUCCAAAUUUUUUUUUAAAACAUGAGUCUGAAAUUGAAAAAGAAUAAAAAUUAUUCAAAACUUUCAACAACGGAUCUCUUGGUUCUCGCAUCGAUGAAGAACGCAGCGAAAUGCGAUAAGUAAUGUGAAUUGCAGAAUUUCGUGAAUCAUCGAAUCUUUGAACGCACAUUGCGCCCCUUGGUAUUCCAGGGGGCAUACGUGUAUGAGCGUCAUUUCUCUCUUAAACCCUCGGGUUUAGUGUUGAAUCUAAUUCCUCUUUUAUUUUAGGGAGGAUGAUUCGAAAUGAAAUGGCAAGGCAAUCCAGUCUAAAGCUUACACAGUGUCUUAGGUUUUACCAAUUACGCUGGGCAAAAGCUGCUUGGAUGAGCCGGGCGGUACAAACUUAUUUCAAAAGUUUGACCUCAUACACGUAAGAAUACCCGCUGAACUUAAGCAUAUCAAUAAGCGGAG
rnacentral:rRNA from 1 species